rnacentral:rRNA from 1 species
GUCUUUUUGAAUUUAAUUUAAAGUCUAAUCUGCCCAUUGAUUUAUUAAAAGGCCGCAGUAUUUUGACUGUGCAAAGGUAGCAUAAUAAUUAGUUUUUUAAUUGAAAGCUGGAAUGAAUGAUUGAAUGAGAUAUUAACUGUCUUAAUUUAAAUGAAUUUGAAAUUAAUUUUUAUGUUAAAAAGCUUAAAUAAUAUUAAAGGACGAGAAGACCCUUUAAAGCUUUAUAUAGAUACUUAAAUAAUUUUAAAGAAUAUUUUAUUUAUAUAAGUUAAUAUAUUUUAUUGGGGUGAUAGGAAAAUUUAUAUAACUUUUUUUUAAUAAAAAACAUUGAUAAAUGAAUAAUUGAUCCAUAAAUUGUGAUUAUAAGAUUAAGUUACUUAAGGGAUAACAGCGUAAUUAUUUUUGAGAGAACUAAUCGACAAAAUAGAUUGCGACCUCGAUGUUGGAUUAAGAUAAUUUUUAGGUGUAGAAGUUUAAAAAUUUGGUCUGUUCGACCAUUUAUUCUUA